CAUGGUGGGUGUUGGAAAGUUUUUCGGUGGGGGAUGGGCUCGCGGCCUAUCAGCUUGUUGGUGGGGUAAUGGCCUACCAAGGCGUCGACGGGUAGCCGGCCUGAGAGGGCGACCGGCCACACUGGGACUGAGACACGGCCCAGACUCCUACGGGAGGCAGCAGUGGGGAAUAUUGCACAAUGGGCGAAAGCCUGAUGCAGCGACGCCACGUGAGGGAUGACGGCCUUCGGGUUGUAAACCUCUUUCAGCAGGGAAGAAGCGCAAGUGACGGUACCUGCAGAAGAAGCGCCGGCUAACUACGUGCCAGCAGCCGCGGUAAUACGUAGGGCGCAAGCGUUGUCCGGAAUUAUUGGGCGUAAAGAGCUCGUAGGCGGUCUGUCGCGUCUGGUGUGAAAUCCCAUGGCUCAACUGUGGGCUUGCAUCGGGUACGGGCAGACUAGAGUGCUGU
rnacentral:rRNA from 1 species